rnacentral:rRNA from 1 species
GCCAGACUCCUACGGGAGGCAGCAGUGGGGGAUAUUGCACAAUGGGGGGAACCCUGAUGCAGCGACGCCGCGUGGGUGAAGGAGCGUUUCGGCGCGUAAAGCCCUAUCGGCAGGGAAGAAGGAGGACGGUACCUGACUAAGAAGCCCCGGCUAACUACGUGCCAGCAGCCGCGGUAAUACGUAGGGGGCAAGCGUUAUCCGGAUUUACUGGGUGUAAAGGGGGCGCAGACGGCAGCGCAAGCCAGGAGUGAAGGCCCGGGGCCCAGCCCCGGGACUGCUCUUGGAACUGCGGGGCUGGAGUGCAGGAGGGGCAGGCGGAAUUCCUGGGGUAGCGGUGAAAUGCGUAGAUAUCAGGAGGAACGCCGGUGGCGAAGGCGGCCUGCUGGACUGCGACUGACGUUGAGGCCCGAAAGCGUGGGGAGCAAACAGGAUUAGAUACCCGAGUAA